GGAUGACUCUCUGGAGAAGCUUACGAAAGGUGAGUGCCGAAGGUGAAAGCCGCCCGGAAAUCCGGGAUGGUGAAUCUCUCAGGCAAAAGGACAGGGAUACAAGA
rfam:Blautia sp. An249 An249_contig_3, whole genome shotgun sequence.